rnacentral:lncRNA from 1 species
UUUAUUACCACUAGCUGUAGAUUCACCGGCACGAUCAACGCCACCGCCCCAACCCACAGAUGAAGAUCCAGAGAGGUUCCUACCAUAACGUUGCCAACACGAGAACUCCUCUGCAACGUUUUCAAUAUCCACUUUCGCCCUCAAGCGAUAUCUAUCAACAUUUUCACGCAAUUCAGAACCAAGAAAAUGGUUCAUUCCUCAACAAAAUCUGAGCUUUUUUACUAAUUCAAGUAAAUUCAGUACAGAUGGCAUCUAAAUCCCUUAUUUUGUAAUCAUCUAAAACUCAAUAAACCAUAAUCACCAAGGACAUGGCUAAGACUGAGAUCAAAAAGACCAAAUUUCUUUAAAAAUUGAAAGAAAAAAAAGCUUACUUUUUUAGUGUUUCCAGCAAUUCAUCGAGGACAGAGACAUCAACAUCUGCGAACAACUCAACAGACCCACCACGUUCCGAAUCGGACCCGGGUCCGGAACCAGUCCGAUUGAGCUUUUCCUCGGGCCGGGUCGGGCUAUACAAGAAAAAAUCGUACAGAAACCUUCCCUGAGGAGUUAACAACGCCGCGUACAUAGGCGGCGUCGAGACGGAAGCCAUAUUCGGCGUAGGAACCGUCGCGCUUUUCUCGCCGGCCGAUUCACCGAACCUCCGUACAUCGUUGGUCAACAGACCCUGAAGAAACUUAACCGUAUCCGGUCCACUAAACCGGACAACGGAACGAGAUUUAAGCUUAGAUGCCAUUGGACCGGCAUCUUCGAG